rnacentral:rRNA from 1 species
GAUGAACGCUAGCGGCAGGCCUAACACAUGCAAGUCGAGGGGUAGAAUUAGCUUGCUAAUUUGAGACCGGCGCACGGGUGCGUAACGCGUAUGCAAUCUACCUUGUACAGGGGGAUAGCCCAGAGAAAUUUGGAUUAAUACCCCAUGGUAUAAUUAAUUUGCAUGAAUUGAUUAUUAAAGUUCCAACGGUACAAGAUGAGCAUGCGUCCCAUUAGCUAGUUGGUGUGGUAACGGCAUACCAAGGCGACGAUGGGUAGGGGUCCUGAGAGGGAGAUCCCCCCACACUGGUACUGAGACACGGACCAGACUCCUACGGGAGGCAGCAGUGAGGAAUAUUGGUCAAUGGUCGGAAGACUGAACCAGCCAUGCCGCGUGCAGGAAGAAGCAUCUAUGGUGUGUAAACUGCUUUUGUACGGGAAGAAACACUCCUACGUGUAGGAGCUUGACGGUACCGUAAGAAUAAGGAUCGGCUAACUCCGUGCCAGCAGCCGCGGUAAU